rnacentral:rRNA from 1 species
GCGAGAGAGUGCUGCUAUUAGGAUUCGAAUUAGACAUGCAAGUCAGGGAGUCAGCAAUGGCUACCGGCAUAAUGCUCAGUAACACGUCGAUAAUCUGCCCUAAAGUUGAGGAUAACGUUGGGAAACUGACGCUAAUACUCGAUAGGGGAUUUCUUCUGAAAGGAUUUAUCCCUUAAAGGUAACGCUUUAGGAUGAGCCGGCGGCGGAUUAGGCAGUUGGUGGGGUAAUGGCCCACCAAACCUAUGAUCCGUAGGGGCCUUGAGAGAGGUCGCCCCGAGAAGGGUACUGAGACACUGACCCUAGCCCCACGGGGUGCAGCAGUCACGAGAACUUUACAAUGCGCGAAAGCGUGAUAAGGGAAUCCUAAGUGCCUAUACAAUGUAUAGGCUUUUGCCGACAGUAAAUAUGUCGGAGAAUAAGUGGUGGGCAAGACUGGUGCCAGCAGCCGCGGUAACCCCAGCGCCACAAGUGGCAUUCACAUUUACUUGGUCUAAAGCGUCCGUAGCAGGUUUGAUAAAUCUUUUGUGAAAUCGUCGGGCUUAACUCGACGGCGUGCAGGGGACACUAUCAGACUUGGGACCGGGAGGAGUCAGAAGUAUUCUUUGGGGAGCGGUAAAAUGCUAUAAUCCAUUGAAGACUACCAGUGGCGAAGGCGUCUGACUAGAACGGAUCCGACUGUGAGGGACGAAAGCUAGGGGAGCGAUCCGGAUUAGAUACCCGAGUAGUCCUAGCCGUAAACGCUGUGAGUUAGGUGUUGCAUAAUCUAUAGGAUUGUGCAGUGUCGAAGCGAAGGUGUUAAACUCACCACCUGGGAAGUACGGCCGCAAGACUGAAACUUAAAGGAAUUGGCGGGGGAGCACCACAAGGGGUGCGGCGUGCGGUUUAAUCUAACUCAACACAGAGAAUCUCACCAGGGGCGACGGCAGGAAGAAGGUCAGUCUAAAGGGCUUACCUGACGAGCCGAGAGGUAGUGCAUGGCCGUCGUCAGCUCGUGCCGUAAGGUGUCUUGUUAAGUCAAGCAACGAGCGAGACCCAUACUCACAAUUGCUAACAGGCAGGCUUCUGCGACUGAGCACAUUGUGAGGACUGCUUUGGAAACAAAGAGGAAGGUGUGGGCCACGGUAGGUCUGUAUGCUCCGAAUCCACUGGGCUACACGCGCGCAACAAUGGUAUGGACAAUGGGAUACAACCCCGAAAGGGGAAGUCAAACCUCUAAACCAUAUCUUAGUCCGAAUCGAGGGCUGAAACUCGCCCUCGUGACGUUGGAAUCCCUAGUAAUCAGAAGUCAUCAGCUUCUGGUGAAUAUGUCCCUGCUCCUUGCACACACCGCCCGUCAAACCAACCGAGCAGGGUUUAGGUGAGGCCGGGUUUAUUGAUCCUGUCGGAUCUAAGCUCAGUGAGGUGGGUUAAGUCGUCACAAGGUA